GGCAGCAGGGCACCGCCGCGCGCCCGCGCCCGCCCCGCUUAAAUGCUGCGCUCGCUGCUCGCCGGCUGCCUUUGUCCGCACGCAGGUAAGAAGAGCCCACCUGCUGAGGACACAGUAGUGCUAACACAUAUGAAGAUACUGAGCAAUGAAGGGAUUCAAAAUCCAGGGUUAAUACCCGAGCCUCCAGCUGACACAGACUGCACAGAAAAAUCCCAUCUUUCUGGUGUCAACCUCCCGCCAGACUGCCAGGGAAACCUGAAUGCAGUGGCCGCACCAGCAAAUCCAGAUUAUGCAGAUACCCCAGUGAGCACAGACUAUGUAGCCACACUGCCUGACCUCAGCACCUUUGAGUCCAAGUGCCAUUUUCACAGAUUCUCCAAAUUUGAAUCCGAGGACUCAGGGGUUGAACUGCCCAGUGGUGCUAAUUCUCCAUCAACGCCAACAGGUUCAGAAAAGAGCUUUGUGCUUCACGGCAGAGAUUCAUUUUGUGACUCCGGGGUGCUUAGCACCUCUUCUUCUCCAGAAAUUGACCAUCUGAUAAUGAGAACAUGUAAAGAGCGGGCCAGAAAAGGUAGCCACCAUGGCCCAGAGAGUGAAAAGCAAACUGAGUACUACAGCCAAGAGGUAGAUGCUGUGCAGGUUCCUACAGCUUCCCUUGAAGACUUCGGUGUCCCUCAGGAAAGAGAAAGUCCCAAACAACAUUUUGACCAAAGCAAAAGGCAACCUCUGGAAAAGCAACCUACCCAAGAGACAGACCUUCCCAGGGAAGACGCACUUCCUACCCCAGCUCCUGUUGAAGAGCCAAAGACAAUUGCUGACCACUACCCAGAGACCUUUGGCAGCACGCAAGACCUUCAGAUCCACGAACAUCAGCUGAAGAAGUACCCCACAAGUGACAGUCUGGAUGAAUACAUGGAUGAAUGCUGUAGACUGAGUGAGGUGAACCAAGGGAACAGCAAAGCCCUGGGAUCUGGCCUGGGAUAUCUGGAACACAUUUGCCAACUGAUUGAGAAGAUUGGGCAGCUACAGGAGCACAACCUGCGGCUCCAAAAGCAAGUGUGCAGCUUGCAGAAAGAGCAGAAGAUGAGCCACAUAAAGGAGGAGUACCUUCUGCAGCACUGCUCCUGUGGAGCUGCCAACAUCUUCCUCAACUCGUACCAAGAGGUGAAGACAUUUUUUGCUGGGAGAAGCAGACCUCACAGCCUCUUGGUUCAGACUGGAAACCCUUCAGAUCUCUCCAUCAUCCCAGAAAUAGGAGCGAACACUGAAAAGCUGAGCAGCUGCAGUGGAAAUGAGAGAUACCCGGAAUCAGGAAACAGCCAGCUGAUGAUAGGGCUCAGGAAGUCAUCGAACAAUAGGAGCAACAAGGAGAAUGAGUUCAGAGAAGCCUGUGGUGUGGCUGAGGGACAAGCUUUUCCACCAAAGGACCCUGCAGUAAGAAAGGGUCUGGACAUCAGUAAGAACAUCUCGGGUGAAAGCCAUGCUUGGGGAAGAAUGAGAGAUCUUAUGAGGAAGACACGGCUGAGAAACCAGAGCAAGCUGGGGCUGUCCUCUGCUGCUCUGAAGAGGUCCUGCCCACAACUGUACAGAAAGGAAAGCGCAGGAACACCAAUGGACACAGAACUGAAAAUGCCARGUUUACUUUGUGCAACCUGCAUCCUACAUCUGUCAACAAGGCAACUGAUUUGGUGUUGAAAGAGAAAGAGGGAGCAGGGAGGUUGAAAGAGGUUUGUGGAAAGAUGUGCGCUCAGCUAUGCAUGGCUUCACUCCCAACUCUGAAGUAUACUUACAAAACCAAACCACGUGAAAACUAUAGUCAGUGUUUCAGCAACAUAACCAAUAGGGCCUUUUAAAUAAGAUUUGGUAAAACUUUCUCUGCUCUGGGUUUGGAACAGAACUACCUGAAGUACUAAAGCUUUUAAAUUAUCAUUGCUUUCUGGGGAUCUUCUCCAGCUGACUUACAGGAGAGAGCAGUACCUGGAGAAGUGACAGAGACCUUGUCUGGGGGCAGCAAUAGUUGAGGGGGAGAACAGCUUCCUCCCUCUAAGGAGGUUUGAGUUGCAGUCUCUGCUCACACCUACAGCAGCUCCUGCCCUUAGAGCUGCACCCAGCCAAUGGUGCAGGCUUGGUGGCAUCCAACAGAAGAACAAGUCUAUGAGGCAMAGAUACCCUAAGAGGCCAUUCCCAAAUCCACCCUUCACUUCCAAUUCUGCAAGGGUGCUUCUGCUGUGAAGGCCCCUUGACUUCAGUACUGCCCCAUGCAAAAAUUGUCUUCAGUGCAGGCUCAUUGCAGCAAGCAGAACAAGGGACACCAUGGGAAUCAUUGAGAGACCUGAGCGUGCAUCGAAGACCGUACCCAGCUCUCUGGCAGGCUGCCCUGUUAAUCUUUCAGGGGACCAAGUUUGAAUUCCCAGUUAAGUUACAAGUUAAGGACCCCUGGAGGCUGCAGUGGCCAUCUGAUGGUGUGUGCUGGACCUGCGUUUCUUCUGCUGGGAAAGAGCACAGGGGAGAGCAAGGCUGAAAGGAGGAGUUAUUCAGCCAUAUGCAUGCUUUAAAGGCUGCUUCUCUUCCCUCUUAAGGGCUGAUCUUUUGGGCCUUAGCUUCUUCAUAACACUAGGGCCAUGUUUGGUGACUGCCUUAUUGCCCUGUGUAAUUUCAGACUCAGGCUACAAGCAGCAUAUGCUUCUAGAGGUCCCAUGGCUGCUUUGGUCUCUGCGCACCAGCUCUUAUUGGUACUAGCAUUCACACCCAUGAGUAAGAAUUUAGACAAACCAUCUUUGCCUUUUGUUAGAAGACUAUUCURCCCACUAAACUAUGAUUUGUGUUUAAAAAAAAAAGUCAAGUAACCACAGUUCAACACCCCCGCUCCCCACCCCUUCUUACUCACUUGGGAAUGGAGAUUUGAGAAGCCAGCAGGAGCAGGCCAGCUUUAGCAGGCUCAGCUUUUGAGUGAUAGAUGCCUCCCCUAUGCUCACCCAGAUCAGCUGGAGCCCCUGAAGUCCACAUACCAGGAGAGCMGAAUCUGAGAUUCAGAAUAUCCCAGUGCAGGAAGGUUGGUUUGAUCUCAGUCCCAGCAACAAGGAACAGCGUGAGGUGAAAGAGCUACUAUUGACUGGAACAACAGGCCACACUACCAGCAUGGCUGUAGUUUGUGGGGGUGAUUGGAGGCAGCCCAGGCCUGUUUCUCCAACUGCUCAGAACACUUUCAGGGAAGUCCAGUAUGGCUGUUAACAUCUCAAGAAAAAAAGUUUGUGCUGACUCAGAGUUACACCUUGAUGCAGGUGYUGUGUUCAGUAUUUCAGCUGUCAUUAGUUUUAGCUGCUGCAAGAUUCAAAUAUUCACUGUAUAUCUUGCUAGCUUYAUCAAAAGCUAGAGAGAUUUAUAACUUGAUUAUUCUGUGAAUAGUCAGCAUAUCUCUAUGAAUACAGAGGGGCUAAAAUCCUACAUUAUCUUACACCUUCCAUUAUCCCUCCAGCUUUACAGAGACUGUAAGGAAUGUGAAUCAGUGCAGAACUGGACUUAAAGUCUUGUAAGAGAUAUCAUAAACUGGUAUUUUUAUAACUACAUUCCUCUUGUAUAGGUUUUUAAACUAGAAUGAACUAGCAUUUUUUUAAUACAGCAUUAUAUGAAAUAUAUUCAUGUAUUUCCAGAARUGUAUUUAUAACAUGUAACAUACUGUAUAGUUCUCCACUCCAGGAUGCAUUGUAAUACAAGCAUAAAAUUUAAUAAAAAGCAUCACUAUUAUGAAAUAAAUUUGCUU
ensembl:lncRNA uncharacterized LOC112980235